CACGUAGGGCGCAAGCGUUGUCCGGAAUUAUUGGGCGUAAAGAGCGUGUAGGCGGCUUGGUAGGUCCGCUGUGAAAACUCGAGGCUCAACCUCGAGAUGUCGGCGGAAACCACUUGGCUAGAGUCCGGAAGAGGAGAGUGGAAUUCCCGGUGUAGCGGUGAAAUGCGCAGAUAUCGGGAAGAACACCUAUGGCGAAGGCAGCUCUCUGGGACGGUACUGACGCUGAGACGCGAAAGCGUGGGGAGCGAACAGG
rnacentral:rRNA from 1 species